rnacentral:rRNA from 1 species
CAGGCUGAUACCGCCCAAGAGUUCAUAUCGACGGCGGUGUUUGGCACCUCGAUGUCGGCUCAUCACAUCCUGGGGCUGAAGUCGGUCCCAAGGGUAUGGCUGUUCGCCAUUUAAAGUGGUACGCGAGCUGGGUUUAGAACGUCGUGAGACAGUUCGGUCCCUAUCUGCCGUGGGCGUUGGAAGAUUGAAGGGGGCUGCUCCUAGUACGAGAGGACCGGAGUGGACGAACCUCUGGUGUUCGGGUUGUCAUGCCAAUGGCAUUGCCCGGUAGCUAAGUUCGGAAUCGAUAACCGCUGAAAGCAUCUAAGCGGGAAGCGAGCCCUGAGAUGAGUCUUCCCUGAUACUUUAAGUAUCCUAAAGGGUUGUUCGAGACUAGAACGUUGAUAGGCAGGGUGUGUAAGCGUUGUGAGGCGUUGAGCUAACCUGUACUAAUUGCCCGUGAGGCUUAACCAUACAACACCC